CCUACGGGAGGCAGCAGUGGGGAAUAUUGCACAAUGGGCGCAAGCCUGAUGCAGCCAUGCCGCGUGUGUGAAGAAGGCCUUCGGGUUGUAAAGCACUUUCAGCGGGGAGGAAGGCGUUAAGGUUAAUAACCUUGUCGAUUGACGUUACCCGCAGAAGAAGCACCGGCUAACUCCGUGCCAGCAGCCGCGGUAAUACGGAGGGUGCAAGCGUUAAUCGGAAUUACUGGGCGUAAAGCGCACACAGGCGGUCUGUCAAGUCGGAUGUGAAAUCCCCGGGCUCAACCUGGGAACUGCAUUCGAAACUGGCAGGCUAGAGUCUUGUAGAGGGGGGUAGAAUUCCAGGUGUAGCGGUGAAAUGCGUAGAGGUCUGGAGGAAUACCGGUGGCGAAGGCGGCCCCCUGGACAAAGACUGACGCUCAGGUGCGAAAGCGUGGGGAGCAAACAGGAUUAGAUACCCCAGUAGUC
rnacentral:rRNA from 1 species